AUUGAACGCUGGCGGCAGGCCUAACACAUGCAAGUCGAACGGUAACAGGAAGCAGCUUGCUGCUUUGCUGACGAGUGGCGGACGGGUGAGUAAUGUCUGGGAAACUGCCCGAUGGAGGGGGAUAACUACUGGAAACGGUAGCUAAUACCGCAUAACGUCGCAAGACCAAAGAGGGGGACCUUAGUGCCUCUUGCCAUCGGAUGUGCCCAGAUGGGAUUAGCUAGUAGGUGGGGUAACGGCUCACCUAGGCGACGAUCCCUAGCUGGUCUGAGAGGAUGACCAGCCACACUGGAACUGAGACACGGUCCAGACUCCUACGGGAGGCAGCAGUGGGGAAUAUUGCACAAUGGGCGCAAGCCUGAUGCAGCCAUGCCGCGUGUAUGAAGAAGGCCUUCGGGUUGUAAAGUACUUUCAGCGGGGAGGAAGGGAGUAAAGUUAAUACCUUUGCUCAUUGACGUUACCCGCAGAAGAAGCACCGGCUAACUCCGUG
rnacentral:rRNA from 1 species